UACGAAGGGUGCAAACGUUGCUCGGAAUUAUUGGGCGUAAAGCGCACGUAGGCGGCUUUGCAAGUCGGGUGUGAAAUCCCUCGGCUUAACCAAGGAAGUGCAUCCGAUACUGCCUCGCUUGAGUGUCGGAGGGGAUGGCGGAAUUCCCGGUGUAGAGGUGAAAUUCGUAGAUAUCGGGAGGAACACCUGUGGCGAAGGCGGCCAUCUGGACGACAACUGACGCUGAGACGCGAAAGCAUGGGGAUCAAACAGG
rnacentral:rRNA from 1 species